UACAGAGGUCCCAAGCGUUGUUCGGAUUUACUGGGCGUAAAGGGUGCGUAGGUGGUGAGGUAAGUCUGAUGUGAAAUCUCCGAGCUUAACUCGGAAAUGGCAUUGGAAACUACCUUGCUAGAGGGUUGGAGGGGGGACUGGAAUACUUGGUGUAGCAGUGAAAUGCGUAGAUAUCAAGUGGAACACCAGUGGCGAAGGCGAGUCUCUGGACAUUUCCUGACGCUGAGGCACGAAAGCCAGGGGAGCAAACGGG
rnacentral:rRNA from 1 species